UUAUAGUUUAAAAUAUUUUUCCUUCAUAAUUAUUUUCCCUUGGAUACUUUUCCUUCCCUUCCCAUCGUAUAAGAGCUAACUAGGGCAAACACUCUUCCCCUCCAUGCUCUGACGGCAAGCCCAUGGAUUCUCCUCCCCUCUGCAUGUCGCCUUGGUUAGAUUAAGUUAGAUUAACUAGGCCAAACUCUUCCCCUCCAUGUUCCGACGGCAAAUCCAUGUUCCUCAGCUCCGACUAGUAGAGUCGGUGGAGCUUCCACAUGGAUUCAUGGUGUAUCCUUGGGACGGUGCGGCUAGGGUUCUUCUCGUGAUGUAUGAUGGAAAGAUCUGGUCAAAGACGCUUCUGAUCGGUUCAAUGGUUCAACGAAGACGAUUGUGUCUCCAAGAGCACUUUGUCAUCACUAUGCUAGGUUGGCUCUAGUGGGGAAGUGGCAACAGCGGCGCGUCGACGCCUUUGGCGGUGAUAGUGGUUAUUCGGUGGUCUAGAGACUUGGAUGUAAUUUCUAUUAUAUUUGGGGUGCAUUGUACUUCUGGUGAACUAUUAUAAUAGAUCUAGGACCAUUAAAAUACAAAUCAUUAGUAUCUGUGAUUCAAGAAAAA